AGUCUGCAUAAUCCUCUCCCUUCCCACGCCAUACUCAGCUCUCUAUCCCUUUCUCACAUCCAUGGAGUUACAAACCAUUUCACUCAUUUUCUUAAACCCAAGCAAACCAUGUUGAAAUCCUACAACAACCUUCCAUUGAGAAUUAAUUUAGCCACUAGAUCCCUCCUUUUCUCUCUGUUUAACCGAAACAACAACAACCUCAUCUUCAUUUUUCAAAUCUUCUGACCGUACCAUGCAUGUGGGUUAAGUAUUAUCAAAAGCAUUCCUUAGACCAAUGGAAACAAGUUCAAAGAUUGAAUCUUUCUCUUCCUUUCACCUUGACCGUGCAACAUUCUCCAUCUCAAUUUCUUCAUCUAUUUUCAUUACCAAAUCUGAAGCUAUUUCUUCUCAAUAGUUGAGUUAUUCUCACCUUCAAUUGGAGCAUUUUUCUACUAGUAAAAACAAUCGGUGGAAUCUCAAGUGAUUCAAGAAUGCUCUGCAUGUAUGACUCCGCACCAAGAACCAUUGUUGGAACUGUUGGAAAUUCAAUUGGUUGAGGGGUUUGAUAACCAAUGUACAUGGUCUGGAGAUGUGUUUAAAAAUGGGAUUCUGAUGCUGUAAUUUUGGCUGCGGGUUUCUACAUUUUCAAGUCGCACGAACUGAUACAUAAGCGUACAAAAUACGUUGGAAUCUCGAAUUUCACUCAAGGAUUGUCAUCAACGGAAUGAGAUAAACAGGUUGAUCAAGAUAUCAUGGUCUGCAAGCAUGAAGUUCAGAUACUUGGAUUAUUCUAGUUGAGCUGCCGUCAUGUUAUCUUAUAUUUGUAUAAGAUUUAGUUUCUUUAUGUUUUCAGUUGUUAGCUCAAUUUAGUAUUAAUCUCUUGGAUUUUGGAUUUUGUAAUCCCAUUUAUGUAUUCGGACAAUAUGUAAUGAAAAUUUAAUGUUUACCGAUUCAGUUAUGUACACUCUUAUCGAUAUUCU